AGAGUUUGAUCCUGGCUCAGAUUGAACGCUGGCGGUAUGCUUUACACAUGCAAGUCGAACGGCAGCACGGGGCAACCUGGUGGCGAGUGGCGAACGGGUGAGUAACAUAUCGGAACAUGUCCGGAAGUGGGGGAUAACGUAGCGAAAGUUACGCUAAUACCGCAUAUGCCCUGAGGGGGAAAGGGGGGGAUCGCAAGACCUCUCGCUUUCGGAGUGGCCGAUAUCGGAUUAGCUAGUAGGUGAGGUAAAGGCUCACCUAGGCGACGAUCCGUAGCUGGUCUGAGAGGACGACCAGCCACACUGGAACUGAGACACGGUCCAGACUCCUACGGGAGGCAGCAGUGGGGAAUUUUGGACAAUGGGGGCAACCCUGAUCCAGCCAUACCGCGUGAGUGAAGAAGGCCUUCGGGUUGUAAAGCUCUUUCGGCAGGAAAGAAAUCGUGCAGGCUAAUAUCCUGUAUGGAUGACGGUACCUGAAGAAGAAGCACCGGCUAACUACGUGCCAGCAGCCGCGGUAAUACGUAGGGUGCGAGCGUUAAUCGGAAUUACUGGGCGUAAAGCGUGCGCAGGCGGCUUUGCAAGACAGACGUGAAAUCCCCGGGCUUAACCUGGGAACUGCGUUUGUGACUACAGGGCUAGAGUGUAGCAGAGGGGGGUAGAAUUCCACGUGUAGCAGUGAAAUGCGUAGAGAUGUGGAGGAAUACCGAUGGCGAAGGCAGCCCCCUGGGCUAACACUGACGCUCAUGCACGAAAGCGUGGGGAGCAAACAGGAUUAGAUACCCUGGUAGUCCACGCCCUAA
rnacentral:rRNA from 1 species